rnacentral:rRNA from 1 species
GACGAACGCUGGCGGCGUGCUUAACACAUGCAAGUCGAACGGAAAGGCCCUGCUUUUGUGGGGUGCUCGAGUGGCGAACGGGUGAGUAACACGUGAGUAACCUGCCCUUGACUUUGGGAUAACUUCACGAAACUGGGGCUAAUACCGGAUAGGAGCUCCUGCUGCAUGGUGGGGGUUGGAAAGUUUCGGCGGUUGGGGAUGGACUCGCGGCUUAUGAGCUUGUUGGUGGGGUAGUGGCUGACCAAGGCUUUGACGGGUAGCCGGCCUGGGAGGGUGACCGGCCACCUUGGGACUGCGAGACGGCCCAGACUCCUACGGUGGGCAGCAGUGGGGAAUAUUGCACAAUGGGCGCACGCCUGAUGCAGCGACGCCGCGUGCGUGAUGACGGCCUUCGGGUUGUAAACAGCUUUCGCCUGUGACGAAGCGUGAGUGACGGUAAUGGGUAAAGAAGCACCGGCUAACUACGUG